rnacentral:misc_RNA from 1 species
GAUGAAGAACGCAGCGAAAUGCGAUAAGUAAUGUGAAUUGCAGAAUUCCGUGAAUCAUCGAAUCUUUGAACGCACAUUGCGCCCCCUGGCAUUCCGGGGGGCAUGCCUGUCCGAGCGUCAUUUCUGCCCUCAAGCACGGUUUGUGUGUUGGGUGUGGUCCCCCCGGGGACCUGCCCGAAAGGCAGCGGCGACGUCCGUCUGGUCCUCGAGCGUAUGGGGCUCUGUCACUCGCUCGGGAAGGACCUGCGGGGGUUGGUCACCACUAUAUUUUACCACGGUUGACCUCGGAUCAGGUAGGAGUUACCCGCUGAACUUAAGCAUAUCAAUAAGCGGAGGA